rnacentral:rRNA from 1 species
GAACGCUGGCGGCAUGCUUUACACAUGCAAGUCGGACGGCAGCACAGAGAAGCUUGCUUCUUGGGUGGCGAGUGGCGAACGGGUGAGUAACGCGUAGGUAACCUGCCUGGUAGCGGGGGAUAACUAUUGGAAACGAUAGCUAAUACCGCAUAACAGUAGAUGUUGCAUGACAUUUGCUUAAAAGGUGCAAUUGCAUCACUACCAGAUGGACCUGCGUUGUAUUAGCUAGUUGGUGGGGUAACGGCUCACCAAGGCGACGAUACAUAGCCGACCUGAGAGGGUGAUCGGCCACACUGGGACUGAGACACGGCCCAGACUCCUACGGGAGGCAGCAGUGGGGAAUUUUGGACAAUGGGCGCAAGCCUGAUCCAGCCAUGCCGCGUGUCUGAAGAAGGCCUUCGGGUUGUAAAGGACUUUUGUCAGGGAAGAAAAGGACAGGGUUAAUACCUCUGUUUGAUGAC